rnacentral:rRNA from 1 species
AGCGAACGCUGGCGGCAGGCUUAACACAUGCAAGUCGAACGGUCCUUCGGGAUAGUGGCGGACGGGUGAGUAACACGUGGGAACGUACCCUUAGGUUCGGAACAACACAGGGAAACUUGUGCUAAUACCGGAUAAGCCCUUCGGGGGAAAGAUUUAUCGCCUUUGGAGCGGCCCGCGUCUGAUUAGCUUGUUGGUGAGGUAAUGGCUCACCAAGGCUACGAUCAGUAGCUGGUCUGAGAGGAUGGCCAGCCACACUGGGACUGAGACACGGCCCAGGCUCCUGCGGGAGGCAGCAGUGGGGAAUCUUGGGCAAUGGGCUAAAGCCUGACGCAGCCAUGCCGCGUGGAUGAUGAAGGUCUUAGGAGUGUAAGAUCCUUUCACCGGGGACGAUAAUGACGGUACCCGGGGAAGAAGCCCCGGCUAACUUCGUGCCAGCAGCCGCCGUAA